rnacentral:rRNA from 1 species
AGAGCGAACGCUGGCGGCAGGCCUAACACAUGCAAGUCGAGCGCCCGUAGCAAUACGGGAGCGGCAGACGGGAUAGUAACACGUGGGAACGCGCCCUUCGGUUCGGAAUAACUCAGGGAAACUUGAGCUAAUACCGGAUACGCCCUUACGGGGAAAGAUUUAUUGCCGAAGGAACGGCCCGCGUCCGAUUAGCUAGUUGGUGAGGUAAUGGCUCACCAAGGCGACGAUCGGUAGCUGGUCUGAGAGGAUGACCAGCAUCACUGGGACUGAGACACGGCCCAGACUCCUACGGGAGGCAGCAGUGGGGAAUAUGGACAAUGGGCGCAAGCCUGAUCCAGCCAUGCCGCGUGGAUGAUGAAGGCCUUAGGGUUGUAAAGUCCUUUAACGGGAAGAUAAUGACGGUACCGUAGAAUAAGCCCGGCUAACUUCGUGCCAGCAGCCGC